GCGUGCCAAACUAUAUACAUAUUAGUUUCUCUUUACAGUAAACUACCAUGUAUGGUUUAUAUGAAAGCGAAACAUCAGAGAUGGUUUGAGACAUGUGAUGUGCAAAGAAUGUGCCAUAAUGAAUGUCAACAUAGAAGUAAGCCAUCAGGAAUGUGGUAGCAGAUCUGCAUAAAAGCACUGUGCGAUGCACCAUCUCUUCAUUGUUUUGUUCUUUAGCUUCUGUUUACAUCAUCGUGAUGGCAGCAGCAGUUUUGGCCAGAAGCAGAGGGGUGGCUGUUUUCAGCAUCAACAAAGGCCUGUUCCUCAUGUCCACCCUGCUGUGUCUGAUUUGCCUUUCAGCUUCACUGACAAACAAGAACCAACUGGUAAACUGAUGUUUGCUUAAAAUCCAAUCAUUUUUUUACCUAAUACAUGUCAGCAGCGAUUGUGAGUCACCACAAUCACAUCUGUUGCUGAAACUAUAUGAAAGUUUCUGUCAGCCAUUACAAACUGUAACCACAUGUCACUGCUCCCUGUUAAGUUCCAGGAAAAGCUCAAGGAAAGUUACAAGAAAGCACAACAGGAAAUUGAUAAACUGAUGGAGUACAAGUCAGACAUGUUGAAAGCUUCAGAGCUGGUAGAUGAUUAUCUGGCUGUCAUCGACCCAGUGAUAGCAGUGUUCAAGAAAACUGAUGCGCUGGUUGGUGAAACAGAUCCUGACACAGAUAUGGAGGACCUUAAGGUUUCCAUGGAAGAAACCAAAGCUGAAAUAGACCUCAUAAAUGAAGAGCUUGAUGAAGGAAUUACAUUGAAGGAAAAGCAACUAAGAAAGAUGAAGACAUUGAUCGAAUACAUUGAGGAGCAGCACACUGAACUGUAACUUUUAUGUAAACCGAUAAAAGUUAUGAUUCACAUGUGCUGCACACCUUUUACUAGAACUUCCUUUGAAACUAUGAAUUAUUUUUGCCUGUUUGAAAACUUGUAGUGAAUACAUUGAUACAAUUUAAAUACAACUAUCAAAAUAUUUGAAAAUAUAAACAAUGUCAAUGUAAAAUAAUACAAAAUAAAAACAUUUACUUUAUAUUGAUAUUCUGUUACUUAUGUCAGCGACAGACAAAACUAAUGACAGACAUCUUGACCUGGCAUAGGUUCAAUUGUCCUGGUAAGGCAUGAAAGUGAACUGCUCCCAAACAGAAUAUUUUUUCUGAAAUCUCUACGCCAUAAAUACAUUCCUGUUUUUGUCUUCUGUAAUGUCAGCUAUGAAAAUGGUCUAUACAUGAAUAACUAAGUUUUGUCUUCUAUAUUAGAUAAUAGAAACUGGGAUAAAUUAUAGGGUUUGUCUUCUUUUUAAGAAAUUGUUAAAACAUUCUGUACAUGAUUAGAUAAAUGCAUCUGUUCUGUGAAUAAAUGAAGGUUUCUUUAAAUUGUCUUACAUGUCUUUGAAAGACUGAAAUCCGCAACAGAUUGCAAAUCUAAAUCUAUGUUAGCUUAAGCCAUCUGAUCAGACCACUGAGGCUUGAGGGGAAAGCAAGAAGAAAGAAGAGAAAG
rnacentral:lncRNA from 1 species